CAGGGCAUAAUGAAUUAUGAUUCAUUGAAGAGUUAUUGAAUUCAAUUGAAAAUAUGAUUAUUGGAUUAUUUUGAGUUUUCGAUUUAAUUCCAUACUCAAUAUCCAAUUGGGAAAUUAGAUGAUAGAAGGACCGUACGUGUAUGACGAUUCAUAAUCAAAAUAGGUUUACUCGCUAUUUCACAUAGUGCUAGAUGGCCAUGCUACUUGCUAGAUGUUCCCAUGGUUUAUAGGUUCUUGAAAUUAAAUAGUUAAUUUCAAGUGAAUUAAUUUAUCAGAUAAAUUAAUUAAGUUGUAAUGUGUUACAAGCCUGUUACUAGUGCUAGUCGUGAACCUAAGAGGGUCACACACAAUUUAGUAGAACGUGUCAGAUUGAAUCGAUUUAAUAGUUAAAUCCAAUUAAUUAAUUCGAUUAAUUAAAUUGAGACUUGUUCUAAAUUAAUGAGUUAAUUUAGAUAUUCAAUUAAAUUAGUUUUAUUGAA
rnacentral:lncRNA from 1 species